CUCACGUUGGCGGCCAAUCUGAGCCGGGGCACCCGAAGCGCAGCGUGGACUGUCUUCAGCUGCCUGUCUAUGUCACGGACAAACUCCGAGUGUUUCAGGGGACCCCCAACCUCCAGGACUGACCUGUGGGUUGCUUCCAGGGCUCAAGUCUUGGCUUCUGCAAGAGAUGGUGAGGGCUGCCAGCCCCAGAAGAACUAUCAGAUGCUUCAUGGUGGAACCUGGAGGAGGAGGAAGAACAGACAAAAUAACUAUGGGGUUUUGCCCGUACUCCCAGCUUUCCCUGUGUCUGCACCACAAGGGUGUAUCUCUUGACACUUCCGUGACUUACCUUCUCUUUUAAAAAGCAAAGCUGUUAUCUGGGGGUGUCUGGCCUCCCUCUCUGACAGAGCGUCGUCAUUCCCACUUUCCUCUUGGUAGCUCUUCCAAGCAGCUGCAGCUGGUUAGAACGGGAGCUACCCUUGUCAAAUGGCACCCCUGGGCAAAAAGCUUGGGGCUGCUCCCUGGACAACUUUCUCACAGGAAACCAACCAAAGAUGGACAUGGUGGAAAUGUCAUGCCUACAAUAAUUUCUAACCUAAUAUCGCAUGUCACAGGUGUGCCAUUAUUAAUCAGGCUGGCAGGUCUGAGAGAGUUUUGGCACUUAGGAAUGCCCAUGAGAGAGGGGCUUCAUCUUGGGGGGGGGCUGUUUUCAAGUGGGCCUCAAGGACUUGUGUUCUGAUUUAUUUGGUUUUAAUGUCAUUAAGUUUUGAAUAAAUAUUUAAAUUUA